GUUCUAUUGAUCUCAUAUCAAUCCAAAGCCUAUAAAUAAAGAACUAAGGGCUCCAAAAAAGGUAUGUACACAUUCUCUCACACUCAUACUUUCACACUGACAGAGUAUUAUCGUAUUUACGAUAACCCUCCCCCCAUUUUAAGCAUCAUGUUGUUGGGGAUUGAGGGUCCUCCUAUACAGACAUCUAACUUGAUCGUCAAAGUGCCUUUACAAGUACCCCCCCCC
rnacentral:lncRNA from 1 species